rnacentral:rRNA from 1 species
GAUGAACGCUAGCGACAGGCUUAACACAUGCAAGUCGAGGGCAGCGGGAUGAAGCUUGCUUUAUCUGCCGGCGACCGGCGCACGGGUGAGUAACACGUAUGCAACCUACCCUAUGCAGGGGAAUAACCACGGGAAACCGUGCCUAAUACCGCAUAACGUAUCAUGAUGGCAUCAUCGAGAUACCAAAGGAGCAAUCCGCUGAAAGAUGGGCUCGCGUCCGAUUAGCUAGUUGGUGGGGUAACGGCCCACCAAGGCGACGAUCGGUAGCCGAACUGAGAGGUUGAUCGGCCGCAUUGGGACUGAGACACGGCCCAGACUCCUACGGGAGGCAGCAGUGGGGGAUAUUGCACAAUGGGGGAAACCCUGAUGCAGCAACGCCGCGUGAGGGAAGAAGGUCUUCGGAUUGUAAACCUAAGUUGUCAGGGACGAACAAAUGACGGUACCUGAAAAGAAAGCUCCGGCUAACUACGUG